UCCCUGGUGGUCCAGUAAGGCUAGGACUCAGCACUUUCAUUGCCAGGACCCGGGUUCAAACCCUGGUUGGGGAA
rnacentral:tRNA from 1 species